AUUGAACGCUGGCGGCAUGCCUUACACAUGCAAGUCGAACGGCAGCACGGGUGCUUGCACCUGGUGGCGAGUGGCGCACGGGUGAGUAAUACAUCGGAACAUGUCCUGUAGUGGGGGAUAGCCCGGCGAAAGCCGGAUUAAUACCGCAUACGAUCUACGGAUGAAAGCGGGGGACCUUCGGGCCUCGCGCUAUAGGGUUGGCCGAUGGCUGAUUAGGUAGUUGGUGGGGUAAAGGCCUACCAAGGCGACGAUCAGUAGCUGGUCUGAGAGGACGACCAGCCACACUGGGACUGAGACACGGCCCAGACUCCUACGGGAGGCAGCAGUGGGGAAUUUUGGACAAUGGGCGAAAGCCUGAUCCAGCAAUGCCGCGUGUGUGAAGAAGGCCUUCGGGUUGUAAAGCACUUUUGUCCGGAAAGAAAUCCUUGGCCCUAAUACGGUCGGGGGAUGACGGUACCGGAAGAAUAAGCACCGGCUAACUACGUG
rnacentral:rRNA from 1 species